UGGAACUGCCUUAUCCCAUUCCUCACAAAACCUUGCCAAAUAGAAGGGUCGCGACGGUUUUGGAACCGCCUUCCCUGGCGGCGCGCUACAGGAGUGUUUAGAAAACCUAGGGCUGUGACGGUUGACAAAUGAAGUGUCGUCCCCCAUUUUACCUUUCUCACUUAAAACAUAUUACCACUUAAAACAACACAAAGAUCCUCUCAACCAGAAACCAAAAGAAGCUCUCAACACAAAAGACGCAAAGCUUCACCGCAAACCAACACUCUCCACCGGAAGAAACGAAAACCACCGCUGUCAUCCAAAAAAUGCAAAGGAAAAGGCAGCUUUUCCCCUGCAGAUGCUUCGCUAUUUGUUCGCGUUCUUUAGUUUUUUUUUGUGAAUCACUAGAGACGAUUGGAUCCUUGAAGGUGAAGCUGUUCUCAAUCAUGAAUGAUUUCGUGAAGUUCCUCUACCUAAGAGCAAAGAAUUCAUGCUUACAUUUUCUACAGAACAUAAUUAGUGCAGAGUCUUGACAUUGAAUUGUGCUAUUGUUACAUCGUUGAUCGUUGAAUUUUUCGACAAUUUGAGAUCAAGACAAUCAGCUUCGACGAGAAGUCGAAAUACAGAAUCAUCUUCGACACCCACGUAUCUUGCGACUCUAUGGAUACUUUUAUGAUCAGAAACGAGUUUAUUUGAUUUUAGAGUAUGCACCCAAAGGUGAACUUUACAUGGUAAUAUGCACUAACAUAUCUAGUAAAUACUAAAAACAUAACAUGGUAACUCAUAUAAUACCAUAAAAAUUGGAUGUGCAUUUGACUGGUUAUAUGGUUAUAUUCUUAAAUUGACCAAGUUUGUGUUGUUAUUUUCUGGUUGAGGCAAUAUGUCGUGUCAUUGGCCCGAGCCCUUAUAUAUUGCCAAGGAAAGCAUGUAAUUCAUAUGGACAUUAAACCAAAGAACCUUCUUAUUGGCGCACACAUUCAACUGUAGGAGGACCAUGUGUAGCACAGUGGAGGACUAUGUCUUGUAACAGUGGAGAGUGUAGACUAUGUUUGUAUCAUGAUGCAUGACUUAUGUAGAGUUUUAGAUAUGUGCCACGAUCAAUUAUUUAGAUAUGUUCAUUAUUCUAUGUUAUGUGGAUUUGAAGAUAUUGUUGUUAAGAUUUGAAUGAAUCAUGUUUUUUAUUUACUUUUUGCGUUGAUAUUCUAAUUUUUUUCUAGCUUUUUAUUAUUUUUUUAAAAUUAAAAUAUUAGCGGGGGUUAUAAACCUCCGCGGUUAGUGUUAAA